GAAAUGCGAUACGUAGUGUGAAUUGCAGAAUUCAGUGAAUCAUCGAAUCUUUGAACGCACAUUGCGCCCUUUGGUAUUCCAAAGGGCAUGCCUGUUCGAGCGUCAUUUGUACCCUCAAGCUCUGCUUGGUGUUGGGCGUUGUUGUCCCCCGCUCGCGGGAGACUCGCCUUAAAGUCAUUGGCAGCCGGCCUACUGGUUUCGGAGCGCAGCACAAGUCGCGCUCUCUUCCAGCCAAGGGCGGCGUCCAGCAAGCCACUUUUUCACUUUUGACCUCGGAUCAGGUAGGGAUACCCGCUGAACUUAA
rnacentral:misc_RNA from 1 species